CGCCUCCGCCCACGGCCGGGCCGCGGCCCCCGCCUCGGCGCCCCGCUGGCAUCCUCAGGCCCGGCCUCGUGAGGCGCCCGGUACCGUGGGGGCCCCAGCUCCCCUUCCUCACCUAAAAUUCUCGCCGCGCCCCCUCCCUCCCUGGCGCCUGGAGCCGCGUCCAGCCCGUGGUCCCUUCGCCGGACGUGGCUGCCGUGCGGUCCUCCCCCGCCCCUUGCUUGGGUUCCUGCGCCCCUAGUCCUAGCUCCCCUCUUUUGUAUCCCCCUUUAAUCCCCAUCCCCCCAUUCAACCCAACUUCAGCCCCCGCGCUGCGCCCCCCUUCCCCGGCCCGGCUCGAUUGGCCGCUUCCUGAGCUGUCAUAUUUGAGUCCGGCGCUCUUAUUGGGCGAUUCUCUGGCCGGGCGGCUAUACCAAAGGAGGGCGCACCGGCCUGGGGGCGCCCAGGCAGCGACUGCCGCAGGGAGACGAAGACCAGAGUCCCUGCAGGGCCGGAGGGGCCCAAGAGCCAGACCCGGAAAUGGACGGUGGAGAUGGAAAGACUGAGUAUCUCUGAGGCGCAGGAAGACAGUGACGUGAAAGAUGGAGAUGCAGUGGGUGAGGCCGAUGCAGCUAGGGCGGGGCGGACAGGAACGCUUUGGUGGAGAGUUACCCAGAGGGAACCCCACAGACAGAAUUACGAACACCUGGCUUUUGUGAAGAGCUCUUUGCCCGUUCAUACUUUUUUUUUUAAAUCUCAUUUGAUUCCCCUCAAUAACCCUGGGUUGUGACAGGGGACAGGGCCCGUGUGAUUAUUCCCAGUUUAUAAAUGCGGAAACUAAGGCUUCAGAGCCUAAUUAACUUGCCAUGGGCCACACAGGUCUCCUGACUUGCAACCGAAAGAUCUUUCGUCAGCGCCAGGCUGGCUCCCUACCUAACAAGGUGUUAGCCUACCUAGCAAGGUGUUAGCCGGAAGGAUGCGCCCCAGGGCAGGGUGGAGAGCCCCGGCUGGAGGAGGACGGGGGAGAGGGCAGAGAAGGACAAGUUACUCCUGCACAGCGCCAGCGAGAAACAGGCAGGAGUGGAGAGGACUUUACUUCGGGUCAGAGAGGACCUAGGCCUGUGGAAUGAUGUACCUAUCCAAUUCCCCUUGGCCCUAAGCUGUCCUGCUGGAAGCUCCAGCAGUCUAAACACUGGGAUGGGUGGGGACGUGUCACCUCUACUCCGGGGAGGGAGAAACAACCUUCACUUUACUCUUCUUCCUCCAGCUCUCUCUGCAGAGCUUCUGACAAAGAGGCUAGAGGUCUGGGUGAGCUUCUCUUUCUUUCUCUGUUGGUCAUCUCUUUGCAAAUUGGAAGAUAAACCUUGCCAGAGUUACAAAUUGGGAGGAGAAACAUUCCAAGAGAUCUGAAUAAACUAACCCUAGAGUAUUCCAGCCUUUGAGUAAUCAAUCCAGGAUUAGCAAAGUCAUAAAAAGCACCAUGAAUUUAGUCAGCAAACAUUCCUAGAGCAUCCCCUGUGUGCAAAGCACUGUGCUAGGUGCCUUAGGGAUAGAGAGGUGACUCAACUCUGGUUACAAUCAGGGAGGGAGAGGAGCUAAGCCACUAAUUCCAGUUCAGAGCACAGUUCAGUCAGUGUUCAAUAGAGGUCCAAAGAGAGCGUUUUGGGAGUUUGGAGAGAGGAGGCAUUAAUUCCCACUGUAAGGGCCAAAAAGACUCUAGAGGUUGAAUCUGGGGCCAGCAGAGAAGGAGGAGUCAGAAGAAAAGGAGGAUGGACUAAUAUUUAUUAAGCAACAACAAUAUGUCUGUGCAUCUUAUUGUCGCAUAACCGUUUUGAGGAAGAUGUUAUUCUCUCCACUAUAAAGGUGAGAAAACCGAGACUUAGAGAAUCAAAGUUUGCCCAGGGUCCAGAGUUUGUAGUAGGAUGAAACAUAAGUUCAGUCUGCUCCUUGCACUCUGCCACACAGCCAUGUAGCAAAUACGAUAUGGGAGGAACACUGCAUGGACAGAAGCCAGAUGGCCUUCAAUGUGAUUGGGUUCCAUCAUUGAUUCCCUUCUCAUUCCCUGAGCUCCCCCUAGGUCAUUCCUUUCCAUUUUAUUCAAAAAUUUUAAGUAACCAUCAUCUUAUAGCAAAAGCUAUGUAUGAUUAAGUGUGUAAAAAGUAGAAUAGAGAAAGACAAAAGAAAACACAUUCAUAAUUACAACACCUAGAAAGAACCAUUAACAUCUUAAUUCUUUUCUUAACAAAAAAUGGGACUUUACAAAGAGUUUUAGAAUCUGCUUUUUUCUACUUAGCAAAAUAUUGUGGAUAUAUUUUUAUGCCAAUAAGCAUCCAUCUACAAUAUCCAUUUUAUUGUCCAAACAGAAUUCCAUUGCAUGAAUAUAGCAUCAUUUAUUUAACCAGUCCCCUACUGUUGGACAUUUCUCACUGUCUUGGCAGUUUGUAAAGUUUCCACUGUUUUACUGUUAUAAACAAUGAGCAUUUUUGUAGAUAAAUCUUCACACACAUCUUUACUUGUAUCCUUAGGAGAAAUUCCUACAAGUAGAAUUGCUGGGCCAAAGGAUAAACAUUUUUUCGCUAAGGAUUUCUGAAGUCUGAGUCUUCAGCCCCUGCCUCCCUUCCCAGUUCCAAGCUUACCCCCAUCUACUGGAGAACUCCCCAUGGAUGUUCCUUGGUAUCCACCAGCACCCCAGAUUCAGUUUGUCUAAAACUAAGGUCAUCCCCCAAGAAGCUUGCUCCUCCCUCUGUUUUCUCGCCACUGGUGGAAUUACCAUCCCCCAAACUCCCAGAUCUUAGAGUGGUGAGCCCUCCUAUCCCAGUUCCCAGAGUCCUGCCACCGUGCCCUUGUCUUUUCACUUCUAUCUCUUCUUCCACAUUCUCUGGCUAAUACCUUCGCCCAGAUCCUCCCUACUCAUUGCCUAGACAAUUACCAACUCUCCCUCCUUGCCCUCCAAUCUGUCCUCCACUUUGUCCCCAUCUGAUCAUGCCUGUCACAACCCAACUGAAAACUGUCCCCAAAACUGCCUCUUCCUCGCUGCUAGCUUUCACGAUCCACCACUUCCGCACAUCAUCCAGCCACCGUAACGGCUCUUUAAAUCUCUGCAGAGAUCACCCUUUUCACAUGCACCCCCAGCACGAACCAAAUCUGUAGCAUCUCUGCGAUGCCUCUCUAAUGCCUUUUCCUCCCCCACCGCCCCAGGCUGCUAGGCACUCCUUCCUCAGUUCCCAGCACACCUUGCUUUUAUCUCUAUUAUAGCACUUGUUACACUGUAUUAUCUUGACUUGUUUUCAGAGCUGUCUCCACAGUCUGCUGAACUCUUUGAGGGCAGAAUUGGUAUCUUACUCAUUCUUGUGCCCCAUACCUGGCACAUAGGAGGGACCCCUUGGCUGUCUGUUGGAUAAAGAAAUGGUACAUCUGGGGAUUAGUGAUGGGAAUUGAGUCUGAAGGGUGGGGUGGAGUGAGGGGACUGACUGGCAACCAUGGGUGAAGGUGGGUUGGGCUCUUUAACGCUAUGUGGAGGAGGGUGGGCUUCAGUUUAAAGACAAUGAAGAGUCCAUGAAUUGGGGGACAGGGGUGUCAAGGGCCAUUAUGUUCUGGGAGGCAAACUCUGGCAAUGUUGUAACGAGAUAGGAAAAGCAAGAUCCAAGGGCAGAGGGGACCAGUCAGGAAGCUAUGGCAGAGCAGAUGUAUUGAUUGAUGGAGCCCAGAAGUGACAUGGUGAUGGGAAUGAUGCCAUUGGCUGGAGGACACCUGUGAAGGGCUGACGAGGAAACCCAGGGGUCAACCACCGUGUAGAGGAGGAGUCCCAAAGGUCAGAUGAAAACCAAGAAAGGUGGGGGUCACAGGAACAAAAGGCAGAGGUUUUGAAGAGCUGCUCCAGGAUGUGCACCUGGCCGUUGUCAUCGAUAGGGGCUGACCACCUCGGGCCUCUCUCUGAACGCAUGGCUUGUGGGAUUUUAGUUCCCUGACCAGGGAUUGAACCUGGGCCCUCAACUGGGAGAGCAUGGAGUCCUAACCAUUGGACUACCAGGGAAUUCCCUGAAGGCUCAUUUUUAAGGCAAAAUGGCACCCUUUCUCCUCCCAAACCAAUGAGCUUUGCUGAGAGCAGAUCCAGCACAGAAGACAGCCAGAGCCAUGCCGGUUGGCAGACACUUGUCUUUAGCAAAUGUAAUUAAAGGCAGCAGCAAGCAUCCCACCUGAUGAGAAAACAGUCUUCCACUCAACACAGAGGACUAAGGGAAGAGCGCUAAACCUGGGGUCAGAAUACCUGGAGGUUCUACACCAGCUCUGCCACUUUCCAGCUGUGUGAUAUCCGACAAGUCACACGUCACCUCUCUGAACUGCCGUCCCAGCAAGGGUAACUGCUCUCCUACCCUUCACGAUUCGUUAUGAGGAUCCGGACAAUGGUGUGAAAUUCCUUUUCACAUUAUUCACCGUUAUGUAAAAUGGGAAUCAUUCUUAAUAAUAGCGAAUUAAUAAAGUCAUUCUUAAUAAAUCCAGAUAUUCAUUUAAGAGGUUAGCAUGGAAUGAGGUACAUCUCUCAGGGUCUCAGGCUCUUGCAUACAUUUAUAGAUGACUGUGAUAAAUAUUUUUAUGUCUGUGCUGCGUGUGUACCAGCUCGUCUAGUAGUCUGGGAGAUCUACCCUUUCAUCUCUGCUGUGUUCAAAGCAGGGCCCCCAGGGCCAUGCAGAUGAGGUCUCUGUUCUCAAAGACCUUCCCUCUUUCAGGAUUCUGACAGACUGCAGCCUGUCUACCCUGCAGACUGGAGAGCUGCGCCCUCCCACAGGCGUGGGUGGUGAUUUGGGUGGUGAUUAGAGUGGCCUGUGAGGCGCUUGAGCGGUGCCGAGUGUUGUUUCUCCUCUCACUGGCCACUCUGCUUGGCCUUGGAGUGGUUUAGUCCAGUCUCUGUAGCCCUGACUGUGAAUCUGUGGUUAGGGAUGGCGAGCUAAGCCGUGUUAGCAAUCGUGCUGGGGCUGGCUGACCUUCCCCAAGCCAGGAUAAUCUCUUUCCCUGGCAACAGGCAGAAGCACCAAGGGACAGUGACAGAUUGUGAAAUCCUGGGGCUGGGCUUUCUAGAAUUACUUGAAAAGAGAAAAGUGUAACAAUACCUUGCGUUUGUGUAGUUCUUUUAAAAAGAAAGAAAACCGUUUUUCAAAGCUGUUCAAGGAGAAGGCAGCUUUGGAAUUUUCUGGUAGAGAGCAAACCAGAUGGGUAAGAAAUGUAUUGUUUUAUUCUUAUUGACGCAGUAACAGUUUGAGAGUGUUAGGAGAAAUCUCUGCUCUCCCCCCACCCCCUGCCCCACACUGUACACAGGUGGGGAUAUGGAGGAAGAGAGAAGUAGAGUGACUUGAUCAAUAUUACACAGCAUGAGGGGCAGAAUUUGACCUAAACUUCUUGACUUUUAUUGUCAACCCAAAGCAGACAGAGGAUGCAGAAGCUGAAUGACCUAACAGCUUGUUAUGUCCACCUGGGAUUCUGGCAUGUAGACAGCUCUUCCCGAGUCAGUCUUUGUACUUGGUUCUCUGGGGCAUACAAGAAUAUGCUUCACUGCUUGUAGGUCUGAAAGCAAUGAAGAAAUGUAGGGGUGGUACAUGAGAAAAAUUGCCGUCCUCUUGCAAGAUACCUACCAAGGAUCUUUAAGCAAGGCAGGAGCAGACUCAACAGGCAGGGACGGACG